GCGCAAACUUGUGCCCACAUACUUCCCUGUUCCCUCCUUAUCUACACGCACGCUACAGCACCGAUCUAGCUCCACUGCACCGCCGCCGGCCGCCGUCCAGCACCACGGCCGUCGUCCUUCCCACUUCUUGCCGCUGAGUGAGCCACCCUCGCACAUCGCAGCCGCGCGCUGUGGCCUCUAGUCCUCCCUCGGCACCACUGGCUAGUGGCUAGUUCGAUCACUUCACUACCGCCACCACAGCUACGGCCUCAAGGUUGGUCUGGUUCCCGUUUGGCCGGCCACUACUCCUGAAUCCUGAUGGUCGAUCCAAGCAAGCGCAGCUCGGAUCCGGGCUGCCUUUGAGCCUCCGGCGUUCAGUUCCAGCUCGAUCUAAGCUACUCCUGCAGGAUAGAUCUCGGUUCUCGGCCGCCUGCGCCACAACCACUGUGCAGUGGUUUGCUCGGCAAGUCGGCAUCUCACCAGUCACCAGCUGGGGGUGGUAAUCCGGCCCGUCGAUAAGGCUGGCUGGGAAGGAGAAUCAGGGUCACAGUUAUGGAGUUCGCCACGAAGCCGAUGAUGGAGUUCGCCUGGAGGUCAAUGGGCACCCUCCUCCCCAAGCUGGUCCGGCUCCUCAAGGAGGAGUACCACCUGCAGAAGAGCGUCAAGGACGGGGUCAAGUUCCUCAUCGCCGAGCUCGAGAGCAUGCAGGCUGCCCUCGAGAAGGUGUCCGACGUGCCGGCCGACCAGCUCGACAAGCAGGUCAAGCUUUGGGCCAGGGACGUCCGGGAGAUGUCCUACGACAUCGAGGACAGCGUCAACACCUUCCUGGUGCGCGUGGACGGCAAGAGGCAAGCAGCCAGGCCGCUCAGCAUCAAGGGGAUCGUCGACAAGGGCCUCGAUUCACUGGCCAAGACCAAAUCCCGGCACAAGAUUGCCGCCGACAUCAAAGAGAUCAUGGGGCAUGUCCGGGAGGCCAAGGAGCGGCGGUACAGGUACAAUGUUGAUGGGCUUGUUGCUAAGCCUUUGGCGACGUCCAUCGAUCCUCGCUUAUCUGCUCUGUUCAAGAAAGUGACUGAGCUCGUUGGCAUUGGGAAGACAAGGGAUGAGCUAAUAAGGAUGCUGUCUGAAGGAGAUGAUGUGUCCAAGAAAAAGCUCAGGGUCGUCUCUGUCGUUGGAAUUGGGGGAUUAGGCAAGACAACUCUUGCUAAAACAGUGUAUGAUAAGCUUAAAGUGGAGUUUGAGUGCUCAGCGUUUGUUUCUGUGAGCCAUAGCCCUGACAUGAAGAAAAUCUUCAAGGACAUUCUCCUUGAGCUAGACAAGGACAAAUAUGAGAAUAUUCAUAACACAACAAGGGAUGCAAAGCAGCUCAUUGAUAUACUACAUGAAUUCCUCGGCAACAAGAGGUACCUCAUUGUUAUCGAUGAUAUAUGGGAUACACAAUCUUUAGAGACAAUUAGACUGGCUCUCGAUGGGAAUAGUUGUGGAAGCAGGAUAAUCACAACUACUCGUAAAUUUGAAGUUGCCACAGAAGCUGGUGAUGUCUACCAUCUGAAGCCACUUUCGUACGGUAACUCCAAAAAAUUAUUUUAUACAAGGAUAUUUGGUGGUGAAGGAAAAUGCAAUGAAAACAAACCAGAUGAGGUGUUGGAUAAAAUUUUGAAGAAAUGUGGUGGUGUACCAUUAGCUAUAAUUACAAUGGCUAGUUUGCUUGCUGGUAAACCGACAGAGGAGUGGUCUGAGGUCUAUACUUCUAUUGGUUUCAGCCGUAAAGACAACUGGCAUGCAGAAAAUACUAUGAGGAUAUUGUCUUUUAGCUACUACGAUAUGCCUUCUCACCUAAGGACUUGUUUAUUGUAUUUAAGUGCUUUUCCAGAAGACUACCCAAUCUAUAAGGAUCAAUUGAUAUGGAAGUGGAUCGCUGAAGGUUUAAUUCCAGGGGAACAAGGAGUUGGGUUAUUUGAGCUUGGAGAGAGAUACUUCAAUGAUCUCAUGAACAGAAGCUUGAUACAACCAUUGGGGACUGCGGACUAUGGCACUGUAAAUGGUUGUUGUCUUCAUGAUAUGAUGCUUGGACUAAUCCGUUCUUUGUCGCAUGAGGAGAACUUUAUUACUAUAUUGCAUAAAGGGCAGUAUGACACAUUAGUGCAAAGUAGUACACGAAGGCUGUCCCACCACAAAAGACCUGUGAAUCACAGUUCUGAGUCUCAGAUGUACUUGGCACACGUCAGGUCAUUUUCCGCAUUUUUGUGUGGUAUUGAGAAGAUGGUGCCACUUUCAAACUUUCAAGUUUUACGUGUAUUAGCUUUGGAAGAGUGUCAAUUCAUGGAAGGUUACCGUCUCACUCAUCUUGGGGAGCUCCUUCACUUGAGGUACCUUGGACUAGCAUAUACACCGAUAUCUGAGAUCCCAAAAGAAAUAGAAGCACUUCAAUUUCUGCAGACACUAGAAUUGGUAGGCACUGGCAUUAAAGAAUUGCCAUCCAGCAUUGGCCUUUUGACACAAAUGGUGUGCCUGCAUGGUGAUCGUUCCACAACAAGAAUACCAAGAGAUGGGAUCAUCGGAAAGAUGACAUCACUGGAGGAGCAGUGCGUACACCCUGCCGCUGUCACUGACAACGAUGAUAACAAGUCUGCAAGGCAAUUUGUGAAAGAACUUGGGAACCUGAAGGAAUUAAGGGUACUUGAUACCGUUAUAGAUGGGCUGGAUGAGAGUAUGGAGGAAGCUUUACUCGAGUCUCUGCAGAAUCUAAGGAAGCUCCGGUAUCUGGAGAUCAGUGGUCGACCAUGGGGAAAAUCUUUGAGAUUGGAGGCUCCUGGUUUCAUACUCCCUCGAAGUCUGCAACAUCUGUGGUUGUCAGGUUUAACGUUCUCCAACCUGCCGACAUGGAUAAACUCCUCUCUUCUUCCAAACCUCUCUGUGUUGUGUGUGUUUGUCGACUCUAUGGACUAUCGGGACAUGAGAAUCAUUGGGAAAUUACCAAAGCUCUACUACCUCCAACUGUACACAGAGUCGACAUUUGUUGUAUAUGGUGGUGAUGGCUACUUCCAGAAGCUGAAGUAUUGCCAGUUGGGCAUGGGUGUUACUGCCAUGUUUAGGGAAGAUAAGUCUGGAGUGCCAGUCAUGCCAUGCCUUGAAGUUCUUGACUUCAGUAUCUCUGUUCGGCGCUCGAUGGAUUUCUGUUUUCAUCAUGGUCAGGGGAUAUCAUUCAUACCUGUGGUGAUUGGGUUGCACUUCAUCCCUUCACUGCUAAAGGUGAAAGUUAGAAUCUCAUGUCAGGAUGCUUUGCGUGCAGAGGUGGAUGACACAGAGAAAGUUCUGAGGAAAACAGCCUACAAGCAUCCUAAUUGGCCCUACCUUGAAGUGGAAAAGUUCUGUGAAGAUAAAAUGAUCACAUCUGUUGAAGAUCAAUCCUGGGCUUUGAUGGACUUCCGUGACGUAAUUGAUUAUCAUGUCCAUGUACGGGAAUUAAAUGAUAUUGGAUAUGCAUUGGACUUUACAAGUUUGGGAAAUUUCCCUAUACUUGAGAAAGUCAAUGCUUCUAUCAACUGUGAGGAUGCAACGGCUGAUGAGGUGGAGAGAGUGGAGGCUGCGAUGCGGGAUGCAGUCGAAGCUCAUCCGAACCAUCCAGUGCUUCAAGUGGAAAGGCAUGGUACAGAAAAAAUGAAAGUAUCAAAUCAGAAAGGUCAAAAGCCGGUGGAUCACCAAUUCCUGAUGCUUCCACAAAAAAUGAGGAUGAACUUACCACCGCCACCGACACCACAAACAUCAGUCAUUAUUGCAAAUGAGGAAAAAGAAUAAACGGUGCACAAUUCCACAGCUUAGUAUUGCACUUGGAUCUGUUCCACAUGUGAUUCAAGGCUGCUUGUGCAUGCAGGUUCCAUAAUUGAAGUUGAAUGCUCAGCAACCUGAAUGAUCUGAAUGCACUUACAACUGCAUCUUCUCAGCAAUACCAAGCUGGAUGAGGAUCACUGAUGCAGUUGAUGAUGUACGGUCUUGCGUCUGGUGGGGACAACUAUCUAUUUAGUGGAAACUUGACAUAAGCCAUCGUACAAUCAACAACAUCUAAACACGGACCUCAAUCGUACCCUGCCGGAUGAAAGACAGAGUUUGAGAUUGCAUCCACUUGCCUGUCUUGUCACAGCCCUGAUCGGGAGCCGUGCAGAAUUAGGGGAUUGGGGAAUCUGCGGAAUUAACGGACGCUGAACCGAAAACAGAGCACUCAAUCUCAAAGUCCAGAGUUAGAUGAGAAUCUCUCUAUAUAUUGGGCUCUGUUGCAGCGACAUGAGCAUCAGCACGCCCUCGUCCUCCCAUGUCAGCAGCUCGAGGAGGUGGCACUUUGAGUCUUUGCGUCAUUUGGAUGGUUAUCGUCGAAUCGAUUAGGUUUUCAUUAAUCACGAGAAAAGCUUGUUCAAUUUAUUUACCUCGCUUAAACUUGUUUGUGCGAGUGAUUGGAACUUUUUACUCGUUUUGUAAUAAGUGGACUGAUUUUAGUGGAUAAAGCCGGAUAAUAUCUAUUCUUUAUCUAAAAAAUAUAUUACUUGAUCCUUA